AUCCCAGAGCAUCACCUAGAAAGCGGCUGAAGCGAAAGCAGAGUAGCACUCGUGGCUCCCACUCUUAUCCUUCAGUUCUUCUGAAUCAACUUUUCUUCAGAACUCUUUAAUAGAGGGAUCCGAAGAUAAAUUCCUAAAAAGGAAUUUCUCGCAGUGCUCAAAGGGCCGGCCGGACAGUAACAUCUCUGGACGCUGGUAGUUCGACCUGGUUGAAAUACCUGCAAAUCGGCUGCCUGCACGAUAGACUUAUCCAUGUGUAACAGGAAUUUAAGCAAGAUUUCAUUAAAAGUGCUGUAUAAAGAUAUCCUUAGGCAGAUAGACCUCGAAUGGUUUUCAAUAAUUUAGAUGAUUGGGUACUUCUAUUCGAUAGUUUGAUAGGCAGAAUCACGUAGAAUGAUAAUGGAAUAUCUUUUGUUUCAGUGGUUUCUUUAUCGUAAAAUGCUAUUUGAAACUUCAAGAUCUCAGACUACGUAACUCUGUAUUUGUUGUUUGCAAAACAUCGAAAGAAAAAAUACGAAUAUAUCCUGUUUUGAAUGAUUGAAAAGCUCAUCAAUAUAUGGAGAAGAGGCUUACGAUCCGGAGAUAACAGAUUUUCAGCGAUAUCAACUUUAGAGAGAAAUACAACCCAAACAUUGUAAAAGAGAUUGUAAGAAAUUUUAAAAAAUUAUUUCCUUUGA